rnacentral:rRNA from 1 species
UACGUAGGGGGCAAGCGUUGUCCGGAUUUUUAUUGGGCGUAAAGAGCGUGUAGGCGGCCAUUCAGGUCAGCUGUGAAAACUCGAGGCUCAACCUCGAGACGUCGGUUUGAAACCGUUUUGGCUAGAGUCCGGAAGAGGAGAGUGGAAUUCCCGGUGUAGCGGUGAAAUGCGCAGAUAUCGGGAAGAACACCCUGGCGAAGGCGGCUCUCUGGGACGGUACUGACGCUAGACGCGAAAAGCGUGGGGAGCGAACAGG